rnacentral:rRNA from 1 species
AGCGAACGCUGGCGGCAGGCUUAACACAUGCAAGUCGAACGGGCACUUCGGUGUCGGUGGCAGACGGGUGAGUAACACGUGGGAACGUACCUCUUGGUUCGGAACAACACAGGGAAACUUGUGCUAAUACCGGAUAAGCCCUUACGGGGAAAGAUUUAUCGCCGAGAGAUCGGCCCGCGUCUGAUUAGCUAGUUGGUAGGGUAAUGGCCUACCAAGGCGACUAUCAGUAGCUGGUCUGAGAGGAUGAUCAGCCACAUUGGGACUGAGACACGGCCCAAACUCCUACUGGAGGCAGCAGUGGGGAAUAUUGGACAAUGGGGGCAACCCUCAUCCAGCCAUGCCGCGUGAGUGAUGAAGGCCCUAGGGUUGUAAAGCUCUUUUGUGCGGGAAGAUAAUGACGGUACCGCAAGAAUAAGCCCCGGCUAACUUCGUGCCAGCCGCCGCAGUAAUAC